rnacentral:rRNA from 1 species
AGUGAACGCUGGCGGUAGGCCUAACACAUGCAGUCGAACGGCAGCACAGGAGAGCUUGCUCUCUGGGUGGCGAGUGGCGGACGGGUGAGGAAUACAUCGGAAUCUACUUUUUCGUGGGGGAUAACGUAGGGAAACUUACGCUAGUACCGCAUACGACCUACGGGUGAAAGCAGGGGAUCUUCGGACCUUGCGCGAUUGAAUGAGCCGAUGUCGGAUUAGCUAGUUGGCGGGGUAAAGGCCCACCAAGGCGACGAUCCGUAGCUGGUCUGAGAGGAUGAUCGGCCAGACUGGAACUGAGACACGGUCCAGACUCCUACGGGAGGCAGCAGUGGGGAAUAUUGGACAAUGGGCGCAAGCCUGAUCCAGCCAUACCGCGUGGGUGAAGAAGGCCUUCGGGUUGUAAAGCCCUUUUGUUGGGAAAGAAAUCCAGCUGGUUAAUACCCGGUUGGGAUGACGGUACCCAAAGAAUAAGCACCGGCUAACUUCGUGCCAGCCGCCGCCGUAA